rnacentral:rRNA from 1 species
CCUACGGGUGGCAGCAGUGGGGAAUAUUGCACAAUGGGGGAAACCCUGAUGCAGCGACGCCGCGUGAGUGAAGAAGUAAUUCGUUAUGUAAAGCUCUAUCAGCAGGGAAGAAAAUGACGGUACCUGAGUAAGAAGCCCCGGCUAACUACGUGCCAGCAGCCGCGGUAAUACGUAGGGGGCAAGCGUUAUCCGGGUUUACUGGGUGGAAAGGGAGCGUAGACGGCAGUGCAAGUCUGGAGUGAAAGGCGGGGGCUCAACCCCCGGACUGCUCUGGAAACUGUACGGCUGGAGUGCAGGAGAGGUAAGUGGAAUUCCUAGUGUAGCGGUGAAAUGCGUAGAUAUUAGGAGGAACACCAGUGGCGAAGGCGGCUUACUGGACUGUAACUGACGUUGAGGCUCGAAAGCGUGGGGAGCAAACAAGAUUAGAUACCCCUGUAGUC